UACGAAGGGGGCUAGCGUUGCUCGGAAUCACUGGGCGUAAAGGGUGCGUAGGCGGGUCUUUAAGUCAGGGGUGAAAUCCUGGAGCUCAACUCCAGAACUGCCUUUGAUACUGAGGAUCUUGAGUUCGGGAGAGGUGAGUGGAACUGCGAGUGUAGAGGUGAAAUUCGUAGAUAUUCGCAAGAACACCAGUGGCGAAGGCGGCUCACUGGUCCGGUACUGACGCUGAGGUGCGAAAGCGUGGGGAGCAACAGGG
rnacentral:rRNA from 1 species